GAUGAAGAACGCAGUGAAAUACGAUAAGUAAUGUGAAUUGCAGAAUUCAGUGAAUCAUCGAAUCUUUGAACGCACAUUGCGCCCGCCAGUAUUCUGGCGGGCAUGCCUGUUCGAGCGUCAUUUCAACCAUCAAGCCCCCGGCUUGUGUUGGGGACCUGCGGCUGCCGCAGGCCCUGAAAACCAGUGGCGGGCUCGCUAGUCACUCCGAGCGUAGUAAUACAUCUCGCUCAGGGCGUGCUGCGGGUUCCGGCCGUUAAAAAGCCUUAUUUACCCAAGGUUGACCUCGGAUCAGGUAGGAAGACCCGCUGAACUUAAGCAUAUCAAUAAGCGGAGGA
rnacentral:misc_RNA from 1 species